AUUGAACGCUGGCGGCAGGCCUAACACAUGCAAGUCGAGCGGAUGAAGGGAGCUUGCUCCUGGAUUCAGCGGCGGACGGGUGAGUAAUGCCUAGGAAUCUGCCUGGUAGUGGGGGAUAACGCCCGGAAACGGGCGCUAAUACCGCAUACGUCCUGAGGGAGAAAGUGGGGGAUCUUCGGACCCCACGCUAUCAGAUGAGCCUAGGUCGGAUUAGCUAGUUGGUGGGGUAAGGGCCUACCAAGGCGACGAUCCGUAACUGGUCUGAGAGGAUGAUCAGUCACACUGGAACUGAGACACGGUCCAGACUCCUACGGGAGGCAGCAGUGGGGAAUAUUGGACAAUGGGCGAAAGCCUGAUCCAGCCAUGCCGCGUGUGUGAAGAAGGUCUUCGGAUUGUAAAGCACUUUAAGUUGGGAGGAAGGGCAGUAAGUUAAUACCUUGCUGUUUUGACGUUACCAACAGAGUAAGCACCGGCUAACUUCGUG
rnacentral:rRNA from 1 species